rnacentral:rRNA from 1 species
UACGUAGGGUGCAAGCGUUAAUCGGAAUUACUGGGCGUAAAGCGUGCGCAGGCGGUUUGUCGCGUCUGCUGUGAAAACCCGAGGCUCAACCUUGGGCCUGCAGUGGGUACGGGCAGACUAGAGUGCGGUAGGGGAGACUGGAAUUCCUGGUGUAGCGGUGAAAUGCGCAGAUAUCAGGAGGAACACCGGUGGCGAAGGCGGGUCUCUGGGCCGAUACUGACGCUGAGGAGCGAAAGCGUGGGGAGCGAACAGG